rnacentral:rRNA from 1 species
UACAGAGGGUGCGAGCGUUAAUCGGAAUUACUGGGCGUAAAGCGCGCGUAGGCGGCUUUUCAAGUCGAUUGUGAAAUCCCCGGGCUCAACCUGGGAAUUGCGUUGGAGACUGCAAGGCUGGAGUCUGGCAGAGGGGGGUAGAAUUCCACGUGUAGCAGUGAAAUGCGUAGAGAUGUGGAGGAACACCGAUGGCGAAGGCAGCCCCCUGGGUCAAGACUGACGCUCAUGCACGAAAGCGUGGGGAGCAAACAGG